rnacentral:rRNA from 1 species
AUUGAACGCUGGCGGCAUGCCUUACACAUGCAAGUCGGACGAGUGGCGGACGGGUGAGUAACGCAUCGGAACCUACCGAGUAGUGGGGGAUAACUGUCGGAAAGGAUAGCUAAUACCGCAUACUAUCCGAUCCGCCCAUGUGUGAUUAGCUGGUUGGCGGGGUAAAGGCUCACCUAGGCGACGAUCUGUAGCGGGUCUGAGAGGAUGAUCCGCAACACUGGGACUGAGACACGGCCCAGACUCCUACGGGAGGCAGCAGUGGGGAAUUUUGGACAAUGGGCGCAAGCCUGAUCCAGCAAUGCCGCGUGUGUGAAGAAGGCCUUCGGGUUGUAAAGGACUGUUGUUAGGGAAGCGGUACCUGAAGAAUAAGCACCGGCUAACUACGUGCCAGCAGCCGCGGUAAUAC